UACGGGGGGGAGCAAGCGUUGUUCGGAUUUACUGGGCGUAAAGGGCGCGUAGGCGGCCGCCUAAGUCAGACGUGAAAUCCCUCGGCUCAACCGGGGAACUGCGUCUGAUACUGGGUGGCUUGAAUCCGGGAGAGGGAUGCGGAAUUCCUGGUGUAGCGGUGAAAUGCGCAGAUAAUCAGGAGGAACACCGGUGGCGAAGGCGGGUCUCUGGGCCGAUACUGACGCUGAGGAGCGAAAGCGUGGGGAGCGAACAGG
rnacentral:rRNA from 1 species